GGUUAAGCGACUAAGCGUACACGGUGGAUGCCCUGGCAGUCAGAGGCGAUGAAGGACGUGCUAAUCUGCGAUAAGCGCCGGUAAGGUGAUAUGAACCGUUAUAACCGACGAUUUCCGAAUGGGGAAACCCAGUGUGACUCGUCACACUAUCAUUAACUGAAUCCAUAGGUUAAUGAGGCGAACCGGGGGAACUGAAACAUCUAAGUACCCCGAGGAAAAGAAAUCAACCGAGAUUCCCCCAGUAGCGGCGAGCGAACGGGGAGGAGCCCAGAGCCUGAAUCAGCAUGUGUGUUAGUGGAAGCGUCUGGAAAGGCGCGCGAUACAGGGUGACAGCCCCGUACACAAAAGCGCAUGUGCUGUGAGCUCGAUGAGUAGGGCGGGACACGUGGUAUCCUGUCUGAAUAUGGGGGGACCAUCCUCCAAGGCUAAAUACUCCUGACUGACCGAUAGUGAACCAGUACCGUGAGGGAAAGGCGAAAAGAACCCCGGCGAGGGGAGUGAAAAAGAACCUGAAACCGUGUACGUACAAGCAGUGGGAGCACCUUCGGGUGUGACUGCGUACCUUUUGUAUAAUGGGUCAGCGACUUAUAUUCUGUAGCAAGGUUAACCGAAUAGGGGAGCCGUAGGGAAACCGAGUCUUAACCGGGCGUUAAGUUGCAGGGUAUAGACCCGAAACCCGGUGAUCUAGCCAUGGGCAGGUUGAAGGUUGGGUAACACUAACUGGAGGACCGAACCGACUAAUGUUGAAAAAUUAGCGGAUGACCUGUGGCUGGGGGUGAAAGGCCAAUCAAACCGGGAGAUAGCUGGUUCUCCCCGAAAGCUAUUUAGGUAGCGCCUCGUGAAUUCAUCUCCGGGGGUAGAGCACUGUUUCGGCUAGGGGGCCAUCCCGGCUUACCAACCCGAUGCAAACUGCGAAUACCGGAGAAUGUUAUCACGGGAGACACACGGCGGGUGCUAACGUCCGUCGUGAAGAGGGAAACAACCCAGACCGCCAGCUAAGGUCCCAAAGUCAUGGUUAAGUGGGAAACGAUGUGGGAAGGCUCAGACAGCCAGGAUGUUGGCUUAGAAGCAGCCAUCAUUUAAAGAAAGCGUAAUAGCUCACUGGUCGAGUCGGCCUGCGCGGAAGAUGUAACGGGGCUAAACCAUGCACCGAAGCUGCGGCAGCGACACUGUGUGUUGUUGGGUAGGGGAGCGUUCUGUAAGCCUGUGAAGGUGUGCUGUGAGGC
rnacentral:rRNA from 1 species